ACCCCUCCUAAAGAUCAAAGUCGCUACACACGGUGCAAAUCUCUCGGUCUCUCUCCCGACGCGAGAGGCGGUUUCCAGGCGGGCUGCCUCCGCUGGUCUCCAUCGCCUCCGGUAAGCCGUCGGGCUCUCGGAGGUGUGCGGGACAGUGUACGACCGUGAUGCGGUUGUAGAUAAUGUUGUUUUAGGAUUUUAUUCUGGCACUGGCGGGCAGGCAGGGGCGACGUCAAUGCUAUGGGAUAAGGUUCCCCCUGGCUCCUUUCCCGUCUCUGCGGUGCUCCCUCCGGCCGGUGGCACUGUGGGGUUAGGGAGGUUGGCCUCUCUCUUAUCCAGCGAGGUUUGGUCGGUGAUGGGGGUGCACAAUAGUAUAGAAGUUGGGAUUUGUGGAGAGGGAUUCCCAGAUCAGGUCGCCUCGGACGGCCGACAGCUGCACACUGUUGCGGGCGAAGUGGUUUGAGUUGCGGCUCCACUCCGUCGUAGGCUACCGCUGGUCAAGGGAUCACUUGGUCUACCCCAGGCCGAUGCACCGGAACCCUCCCUGGUUCCGUCUUUUGGGGCGGGACUUAUAUGCGGCUCACAAAGCCAUGGAUCGGUGAUGCUGCUCCUCAUGCCCGUUGUCUUGUGGAUGACGGCUAGCACCGGCGAGUGCAGAGAUCAGCGUGCCUAGGUGAAUAAGGAAGAUGAACUGGGCUGUAAGUUACUUUGUUUGCUCUGUCGGUGUUAUUCCCUUUAGUGUUAUCUCUGCCUCUCUAGUUCUCAAGCUCCAACGACAUGCCCUUUUUUGUGCUGGCCAUGGAGGCUAGCAGCGGCAGGACUGCCAUGACUAGGCCGCGCAAUAUUUCUAACAGUGUUGAGCUACUCGUUCCCGACAGCUCCGAUGCCAAGCUGCCAAUAGAAGCAGAGCAGGUAUGUGUGUGAUGGAUCUUUUAAUGAUAAGUUUGCUUCCUGUUCGAUUAGGUGCAUAUUUCGCAAGGUAAUGUUGUUCUAUCAUGUCUCUGAUUUUGAUUUUGAUUUUGAUUUUUUCUGCAGAUUUCAGGAUAUAGAAGGCAGCUUCAGGAAGGGGUCGCUGACGAGGUGAGGCCAUUGCGUCUAUUCUUGUGUUAGUUUGUUUCAAAGAAAUCACACUAAUUUCUCUCAGUAUACUCUAUAGAGAAAUAAGUACUGAAGCAGGCUUCACCGAAGACUACUGAUCUAGAAUUGUCUGUUGCUGAAAUAAGUCCAGGAGCUAUGGAGCAGGCUGAACAAUUUUCUGUUGAUUUUACUCAAUGGAUUGUCCCUGUAAUUUGACCAAACGUCAUGUCGCCGUGCCACUGAAGUUUUUGCACAGAAUUCUUGUCUUUUUGGGUGGUGCCAAGCUGUCUUUUUGUUGAACAAUGCCACAAUUGCAUAGUUGUAAGUUAUUUAGGAUUGUCUCUAUUGCAUACGACCUGGAGUUACAAGAGGUCCAGUACUAAUUUUGUGUAUGUAUGUACAUGUGCAGUCGCCCAUUUUCUAUACACAUGAUUCCAAAACAUCUUUUACUGUACAUUUUGUUUCUUUGCUCGGUACAAAAUGUAUUGCAAGUGUUGUUCAUUUUUUUCCCUUCUGUAAAUAUACUAGAGACCCUCUAAGGGCUCAGUUUUCUUCCCGUUGUCUGAAUAUACCCAGAUUUAUUUUGUGUGUGCGUAUUUAACAAAGCAUUUAGUUAACC
rnacentral:lncRNA from 1 species